CAAUUAAGGUUGUUCUCGAAGAAAGCGGAAACGUCGAAUACUAGUGCGAAAGGCUGCUGGGAAUCGCUAAAAAAAUAGUGAAUUUUUUAGCAAUUCCCAGCAGCCUUU